GGUAAUAUGUUUGUUGCAAUAUCUGAAGCUGCCUUGUUAUAUUUACAUGAAAUGUUUUCAGAAGAGUUGAGCAGUUAUAUAUAAUUACACAGAGAGCAUUCUACUACCUAAAACGCUGCUGAUAAUAUGAGAAAAUCUUCAGUUCUUGGAAGGUCUGGUGUCCGGCUUUUCUUUGAUGCGCAGAGGUCCAUGUUUGAACCUGUAUAGUUGGGAAACAAAGAAUUUUAAUGUCUUUGUUUAUGGAAGCAAAGGAGAAAGGGAUGGAAGUGUUCAGCAUAAAUGGAAUAAUGCUUUUAUAAUAGAUAGAAAAUAAUACAUGUAGGAUAUUGUAUAGCAGAGUAUAACUUUUUUGGUGAAGAUUCAAUUAUAAUUGCUGGACCUUUUCCCUUGUGGUCAAGUAUCGCAUCAUGUUGUAUAUAUGUAAAAAUUAUUUAUAAAGAAGUGUCAAGAAGGUAAUGGUAUUUGUUAAAUGUAAAUAAAAGUGUGAAGCAGUAUUAUAUAUAAUUGUUGUUAUAUAUAAGUGUGUACCUCUAUGUUUCCUUCGUCGAUAUCGUCGUUUUCUGCAUCAGUAAUAUCAAUGCUAGUUGGUCUGUGAAUAUAGAACAAAUGUAAUACAAUGAGUCACCUUCCUUAGCUCCAAUGAGUCUAAUAAUGAAAUCUUCACUUUCAUUAUUAGAUAGACGGUCUCUUGCCAUGCGAUUUUUUUGCGAAUGGAUUGUGAUCGUCUAGCAUCUUAAUUAAUCCAUUGACUAUAUCAGAAUCCAAAUUAUCUUGGCUAUUGAUUUCAUCUUCUAGGCAAUUCAUUCUGUUUUGAACCUCAUUGGCAGUGUCGUAAAUGUAUAACUGAAUGAACUUUGGUGAUUAGCCAUCUGGAGGUAAUAGAGAUCCAAUCCGAUGAUGCACUUGCCCACAUAUUUUAAACAGUGGUGGACCACGACCAUCAUUAACUGAAUUAUCUAUGUGUGCAACCAUUGAUGUGAAAGCAAAUAAACAAUUGUAUUGCCUUAUGCUUCUGAUGAAUCUCUUUGAGGUUGUAUCACCAUCAAAUCUUGCAAGAGAAAAUAGAGGUUCGGGUCUAGGCAUAUAUGGAGGUAUGCUGAUCUUGCCACCUUUACAACAAUUGUUAUAUGUAAUAGAUGUAGCACCGUGUUGAUUUCGUACUCUUUCAGCAUACCAAAAAAUAGCAUGACAAUGUGAGCACUCGUAUUCAGGUUUCCCAUGAUAUGAUCUAUUUGGAUAUGAAGUUAUGUUUGAUUUUGCCCAAAAAAGUUCGCGCAGGAUUAAUUGAAUUAAGGAUUUGCACUUUUGCAGAGAAAAAAUGGCACAAUGUUAGCAAGGUCUUUUUAAUAAGGAUAAUCACGGCCUACUUAAAAAAGAGGUAUUCGUAUAUCACAUUACCUUUAAGUGAUUGUAUGUACUCAUUGGUGAAAUAGGCACACUGUGAAGUCGUCGUUGUAGUCAUCAUUGAGUCUUUUUUUAACAAAAGAAGUAAGGUAAUUAGAAUUUUUAUUUAUUUAUUCAUGAAGGAAUUGUAACCACGUUUUAUGCCAUCACAUUUGGUUAAGUUGGCAUUACCUCUUCUGCCGAGUCUAUUUUGGUUAGGUAACACUCUUCGGGUUUUCCGUGCUUCUACAACAUUUGUGGGUAGUGGUAUAUACGGAGUAAAAGAGUCUGAAAACAGAGGCCAUCUACCAAGUCAAUAACUGACUGUUUUCUAUAUUCAUUAUUUAAUCUGCUACGAAUGUGCAAGAUAAGAACAUACUGUGUUUCCUUUUGUUCACGCGUUUGUUGUUGCUGCUUUCUGCAUCUGUCGUU
rnacentral:lncRNA from 1 species